rnacentral:rRNA from 1 species
CCUACGGGAGGCAGCAGUGAGGAAUAUUGGUCAAUGGGCGCGAGCCUGAACCAGCCAAGUCGCGUGAGGGAGGACGGCCCUACGGGUUGUAAACCUCUUUUGCCGGGGAGCAACGGGCGCCACGUGUGGCGUCACUGAGAGUACCCGGAGAAAAAGCAUCCGCUAAAUCCGUGCCAGCAGCCGCGGUAAUACGGAGGAUGCGAUGGUUAUCCGGUUUUAUGGGGUUUAAAGGGUGCGUAGGCGGAUCGUUAAGUCAGUGGUCAAAUUGAGGGGCUCAACCCCUUCCCGCCAUUGAAACUGGCGUUCUUGAGUGGAAGAGAGGUAUGCGGAAUGCGUGGUGUAGCGGUGAAAUGCAUAGAGAUCACGCAGAACCCCGAUUGCGAAGGCAGCAUGCCGGCUUCCGACUGACGCUGAAGCACGAAAGCGUGGGGAUCGAACAGGAUUAGAUACCCUAGUAGUC